AGGGAAUCUUCCGCAAUGGACGAAAGUCUGACGGAGCAACGCCGCGUGAGUGAAGAAGGCCUUCGGGUCGUAAAACUCUGUUGCCGGGGAAGAACAAGUGCCGUUCGAACAGGGCGGCGCCUUGACGGUACCCGGCCAGAAAGCCACGGCUAACUACGUGCCAGCAGCCGCGGUAAUACGUAGGUGGCAAGCGUUGUCCGGAAUUAUUGGGCGUAAAGCGCGCGCAGGCGGUCUUUUAAGUCUGAUGUGAAAGCCCACGGCUCAACCGCAAGCGGUCAUUGGAAACUGGGAGGCUUGAGUGCAGAAGAGGAGAGUGGAAUUCCACGUGUAGCGGUGAAAUGCGUAGAGAUGUGGAGGAACACCAGUGGCGAAGGCGGCUCUCUGGUCUGUAACUGACGCUGAGGCGCGAAAGCGUGGGGAGCAAAC
rnacentral:rRNA from 1 species